rnacentral:tRNA from 2 species
ACUGGCGUAGCUCAGAGGAAGAGCAGAUGACUCUUAAUCAUAAGGUCGUGGGUUCAAUCCCCACCGCCAGUA